AACGGUCUAUACCUGCGGUACCUGCGGAGGGAUCAUUACCGAGUUAUCAACUCCCAAACCCCUGUGAACAUACCCGAACGUUGCCUCGGCGGGACCGCCCCGGCGCCCCUAGCGGCCCGGAACCAGGCGCCCGCCGGAGGACCCAAACUCUUGCUUUAAACAGUGGCAUACUCUCUGAGCCUCACAAACAAAAAAUAAAUCAAAACUUUUAGCAAUGGAUCUCUAGAUCGGAAGAGCACA
rnacentral:misc_RNA from 1 species